UACGGAGGGGGCGAGCGUUGUCCGAAGUUACUGGGCGUAAAGCGCGCGUAGGCGGGUUGGUAAGUCCGCUGUGAAAGCCCGGAGCUCAACUCCGGAGGGUCGGUGGAUACUGCCAGUCUUGAAGGUGCUAGGGGGAGAUGGAAUUACCGGUGUAGCGGUGAAAUGCGCAGAUAUCGGGAGGAACACCGGUGGCGAAGGCGGUUCUCUGGGCCUUACCUGACGCUGAGGAGCGAAAGCGUGGGGAGCGAACAGG
rnacentral:rRNA from 1 species